rnacentral:misc_RNA from 1 species
GAUGAAGAACGUAGCGAAAUGCGAUAAGUAAUGCGAAUUGCAGAAUUCAGUGAAUCAUCGAAUCUUUGAACGCACAUUGCGCCCGCCAGUACUCUGGCGGGCAUGCCUGUCUGAGCGUCAUUUCAACCCUCGCGCCCGGCUUCUGUCGGGGGCGGUGUUGGGGAUCGGCCUCCCGUCUUCCGGGCGGCCGGCCCCUAAAUGGAGUGGCGACCGCGCCGUAGCCUCCUCUGCGUAGUAGUGAAACACUCGCGGGCGGAGAGCGGUGGGGCCCGCCGUAAAACCCCCAACUCUUCUAAGGUUGACCUCAGAUCAGGUAGGAAUACCCGCUGAACUUAAGCAUAUCAAUAAGCGGAGGA